rnacentral:rRNA from 1 species
UACGUAGGUCCCGAGCGUUGUCCGGAUUUAUUGGGCGUAAAGCGAGCGCAGGUGGUUUAUUAAGUCUGGUGUAAAAGGCAGUGGCUCAACCAUUGUAUGCAUUGGAAACUGGUAGACUUGAGUGCAGGAGAGGAGAGUGGAAUUCCAUGUGUAGCGGUGAAAUGCGUAGAUAUAUAGAGGAACACCGGUGGCGAAAGCGGCUCUCUGGCCUGUAACUGACACUGAGGCGCGAAAGCGUGGGGAGCAAACAGG